AUUGAACGCUGGCGGCAUGCCUUACACAUGCAAGUCGAACGGUAACAGGUCUUCGGAUGCUGACGAGUGGCGAACGGGUGAGUAAUACAUCGGAACGUGCCUAGUAGUGGGGGAUAACUACUCGAAAGAGUGGCUAAUACCGCAUGAGAUCUACGGAUGAAAGCAGGGGAUCGCAAGACCUUGUGCUACUAGAGCGGCCGAUGGCAGAUUAGGCAGUUGGGGGGAUAAAAGCUUACAAAGCCGACGAUCUGUAGCUGGUCUGAGAGGACGAUCAGCCACACUGGGACUGAGACACGGCCCAGACUCCUACGGGAGGCAGCAGUGGGGAAUUUUGGACAAUGGGCGCAAGCCUGAUCCAGCAAUGCCGCGUGCAGGAUGAAGGCCUUCGGGUUGUAAACUGCUUUUGUACGGAACGAAAAGCCCUGGGUUAAUACCCUGGGGUCAUGACGGUACCGUAAGAAUAAGCACCUGCUAACUACGUGCCAGCAGCCGCAGUAAUAC
rnacentral:rRNA from 1 species